ACAUGUAGGCUACUCUAUGGUAUUUCUUGCUUCUCCUAUGGUAUGAUAAGAAUAUUUCUCUUUUUCACAAGGGUAGUCGCACUUAAUGUUGAAUAUAUUACAGCUGCAGUCGGUGGUGAUGCAGUUAGUCUCAUAACCAGGGAGGUGAAGCACUGAACUGUCAGGUGACCCUCACAGACCACCAUUCAGAACCACAUCUGAGAUUUUGUUUAAAUUCUAUAUUAUUUGAUAUAGACUUUGUCCAUAAAACAAAUCAUUUGUGCAUAUGUACUUUGACACAAUGGUGAGACUAUAGAGAAUAUUUACGCUGCUUAUUUCUGAUUGGCAGCAGCUAUGGUAAAAGAGCAAAUGAACUCACAUGUGCAACUACAAAAAGUGAUAUGCACCAAUCAGAAAUGCAGAACUCAUGUUGGUAUUUUACGUGAGGCUUAAAAUGCUAUUCAGCUAAUAUCCAUGACAAUCAUGCUAAGAACGAGAGUAACAUUUAAAAGUAUAUGAAUGUAAAAAAAAAAAAAAAGAUUUUAUGAGUUUUUAUUGUUAUUUCAGAGACCAAAGAUCACAAAACACCCAAAUGUAUCUGAAAGUUAUAUAAAAAAAGAAAUUUCAUUGGAAGUUCUGACAUGAACAACAGCUUAUCAGCUGCAGGGAUUGGAUCUUUUAACUUUAAUGAACUGAUAUUGAUUUCAUGCAACAUUGCCUGUGAGCUCUUCUACAUCACUUUUAACCACAUUCACUUGUUACACUGCACUGCCCCCCGGUUUGUGCACCACUGAAGCCAGGCAGCAGCUGAAGAAUCCCCUUUAUGAUAUGGAGGCAACACGCGUUGACGUGUCGCGCUGCGCUUCCGACCUCUAGUAUCGGUAUGCGUCUUCUGCUCACACACCCACACACACACACACACACACACACAACUCUCUCAUGGGGACAUGCGGCCAGGAGAAGCAGCCACGGACUCCCUUCAGACUUCAAACAGCAGAUGGACACCCCAGGAAAGGCAGUGGAAAGUCCCCCAGCGUCCAUCUGUGGCAGUCAAAAUGGACGCUGCAACAGCCAGGCUCGGUCGGCCAUCUUGGUUUCAGCGUGAAAGCACAGGGACUGUACGACGCUGAAAGAGGCAAAGAGGGACAUGAGGAGGGAAAUGGCAGUUUAAGCUUCUUUGCCACAUGCACCUCAAACUGUAAAUGCUCUUUUUAAUCUGUCAAUUUUUAUUGAUUUCUGUAAAUCUUCCCACAUGGAUCUGGAGGGAACAGAUGCAGCAAAAAUGCUGGUAAUCAUCCAAAAGGUUAAAACAAUCUUUUUGCUAAAAAUGAAAAGAUAACAAGACUAGGAGUCUUCAGCCAUGCUAGCAGCUCUGUGAGGCUGUACUUAGGUAGUGCUUUGAGCUAAACGCUAACAACAACAUGCUAACGUGCUCACUGCAACAAUGCUAACAUGCUACUGUUUAGCAGGUAUUUACCAGGUUUACUAUAUAUAUAUCUAUCUAACCACCAAAGUUAGUACCACUGACCGACAGAUAAAAUUAAGCAAUGUCUACUUGACAAGUAAAAAAGCAAAGAUUAAAGGAAAGUCUCAUCAUCACAUCCUCACCCAGAUAGCUGAACCUGGCAAUGUUCCAGGAAAAGUGUUUUAACAGGUCCCGCAGAGCUGGCACCCUGCUGAAGCAUCUUUAUGGACAAUUUGAGUCAGGCAAACAAUAUUUUCACACAUUGCCACACAUGUUGCCGACAUAUUGGCAGAGCAUUUGUAGUUGAAGGUGCAAGUGGUAAAAGGGCUUCUGUCUGCUGUAUUGUUAGAAACUCUUCCUCUACUUCUGUUUACAUUUAUGAUGGUUUCAGAAUCAAUGCUAUCAUUUUUUUUUGUAUUAGAGCUGUAUUAUAGUAUUCUGUGGUUUUCCACCCAGUUUAACUACAAACUAUAUUCUUAGUCAUAUCCUCUCCUGCAUCAUAUCAGCAGUGGCCAACACAUCUGAUGCCCAGGGAACCUGCUUGUUUGUCAUAUUGCCUCUGCAUGAAGUUGUUUUCCUCCUUUCCCGUCUUGGCUGAAGUGUGGCAGCUGGGCAGCCAUUUUGGCUCCAAUCAGAGCUGCAGAGCCACAGGGCGCCCAGCGGUUGCUCAGUAGUCAGUGUAGAUCCUGUGGGGCUGGCAGCAGCUACAUCUGGCUACUGGGUCUCUGCUGGCAGCCAUGUUAUUCAGGAUACGUGAUGACACGAAGGCUUACUGUAUGAUUGAAUUUUAAGUUUUCUAAUGUACUCUAUAGAAUAUUUUCAGACAUAUUUGGAAUUCCUUUCUAACAGGAUUAGUGUAUUUUCUACUGUUUUCUAUGUGUAGUUCACACCCUCUCCUUGGGAUUUUUUCUGCCAUGCAGCUUUUAAAUUUCAAAGAAAUGUCUCGAAUGCCCACCCACUAUGAAGAGAACAUUCCUGGUGUCCUCCAAACUACCCAUGCAGUCUAGGAUUAACUCUGCUGCAGGCUUUUUUUUUUUUUUCUUUUUCAAUAAAAAUGAAAAUAACGUUUUGAAAUACUGAGUAAGUUCUGGACCUGGCAUACAGUGUAGGAUUCUGUGUGUGUCAGUCUACAGCUACAUUGUCUGCUGGGUUUCAGGCCUAUACGCUUACACAUCAAUGUCUACAAAUGUUUUUAUUUACUGUAAAUGAUAUAUCAAAUGAAUAUAUAUGAGUGUUGUAUGUUUUAAGGAACCAAAGAGCAUGGAUAAUUUGACAAUUGUGUUUAUUGACUCAUCAUAAAACAUUCUUCAAACAAUAAAACAAUUUUAAAUGUC